GGGGAUAUAGCUCUAAUGGUUAGAGCGAUUGCCUGUUAAGCAAAAGGUUUUGGGUUCGAAUCCCAAUGUCCCCGCCA
rnacentral:tRNA from 1 species